CUUCCCUGCGUGCAGUGGAGACAGUGAAGCCUCUGUCCACGCAGGCCCCGGCUGGGCCGUGACCCGCUCUUGAGGUCCAUCUCUUACCCUGGCCUCACAGUUUCCCUGGUUGCCUUCCAGGGUCAGCAGAGCAGCCUCGAUGCUUUCAGAAGCCCCAGGGGACUCAGGCCACGCUCCAGGAGACCCAAGAGCACCCCCUUGCAGCUUGUGAUGAGCCCUGGGUGAGGAGAAGGUGACACAAGGGGGCUCAUAGCCACCACCAGGUCCAGCUGGGCCAGGGGCACUCGUCUCAGUCCAUGGGGAGAGUCCACCUUGGCUCCAACUGGCAGGAUGAAUUAGGAGAUGAGAGCCAGCCCUUUGCAGCCUAGAGCAGUGGUUCAAGCAGGGCCUGGCCAGGGGCUGUGGGCAGACCCCAGGCGUGUCUGAGGCUGGAGGAGCAGCCCCCAGGCAUCCCAUCGCACUCCCUCAGGGCACCCAAGGAAUCCCACUUUGACUCCUCUUGGUCUUAGCUCCAAAGCUAUGUCCAAGCAGGUGAAACAGGGAGCGCCCUCCCCAAGGGGCUCUCUAGGGCAGAAGGCCUGAAAGAUCAGGGCAAUCACCACAAACACGAUGGAAAUCAGAAAGCUGGCUCCUAAAACAUCUCAAGGCUCCACGCUAACACGGAGACAGGAGAGGGCCGCGGGUGGGGCGGGGGUGUUAAUGCUGCCCAGAUCUGGGUGCAAGUUUCAGUGCCACGCCGUGCCAGCCGUGUGGCUUUCAGCAAGUGACUUCCCUUCUGUAAGCCUGUUUCUACAUCUGCCAAAGAGGCCUGAUAAUAGCACUGAUCAAGCACAGGUUUUCUGUGAAUUUUCAUAUAUUUGUAUGGAGAAUGCACAGUACCUGGGAUGUAUAGAUGAAAUUUGUGUAGGUGGUCGUAGUUAUUACUAUCAUUAUUAUUUACAGACAGGAUCUUGCUCUGUCACCCAGGCUGAAGGGCAGUGGGACCGUCACAGCUCACGGCAGCCUCAACCUCCUGGGUUCAAGUGAUCCUCGCAUCUCAGCCUCCCAAAAUGCUGGGAUUAUGGGCAUGAGCCACCGUGCCCAGUUUGCAAUGAUCAUUACUGAAUAUCACGUACAUACGUGUAUUGGCAAGUGUUAAACAUAUAAGAUACUUUUAAGUAAAGAAACUUAAAACAGAAUUUCUAUGAGUUAGUGUAAUUUAGUCUAUAGAUAAGAAGAUACAUACACAGUUCUGUUUCAUUUCAGCUCCUGGAACAAGCGCUUGUCUGCCAACUCUUAUAGGACAGACGUAUCCCUCCAUCCUGUCACCACCCAGCCACCACCCCCUCCCAGGCCAUGGCCCCUGCCACAUCCUCCUGUGGCCCUAACCAGGGACCUUUCUUUUAUUUUAUUUAUUUAUUUUUUAACACAGAGUCUCCCUCUGUCGCCCAGGCUGGAGUGCAGUGGCACCAUCUUGGCACACUGCAACCUCUACCUCCCGGGUUCAAGUGAUUCUCCUGCCUCAGUCUCCUGAGUAGCUGGUACUGCAGGUAUAUGCCAUCACACCCAGCUAAUUUUUGUAUUUUUAUAGAGACGGGGUUUCACCAUGUUAGCCAGGAUGGUCUCUAUCUCCUGACCUCGUAAUCUGCCCACCUCGGCCUCCCAAAGUGCUGGGAUUACAGGUGUGAGCCACCGCGCCCGGCCUAGUAGAGACAGGGUUUCACCAUAUUGGCCAGGCUGGUCUCGAACUGACCUCAGGUGAUCCACCGCCUUGGCCUCCCAAAGUGCUAGGAUUACAGGCGUGAGCCACCACGCCCGGCCUCAGGUGUGUUUCAAAGUGAGAGCUCAGACGAUCGCUGAUCUAGCUAUGAUUGCGCCACUGUACCCCAGCCUGGGUGACAGAGUGAGACCCCGUCUCAAAAAAAAAAAA
ensembl:lncRNA